UUUUUAUAUGAGACUAUUUGACAAGUCAUCAUGUACGGUCUUUUAUCUAUAUACACUAUAUCCUUAAUAAUAUUUU
rnacentral:sRNA from 1 species